rnacentral:rRNA from 1 species
GAUGAACGCUAGCGGCAGGCUUAAUACAUGCAAGUCGUGGGGCAGCAUGAGUAGCAAUACUUGAUGGCGACCGGCAAACGGGUGCGGAACACGUACGCAACCUUCCUUCAGGCGGGGAAUAGCCCAGAGAAAUUUGGAUUAAUACCCCAUAAUAUUUUGAGAUGGCAUCAUCUUAUUAUUAAAGCUUCGGCACCUGAUGAUGGGCGUGCGGCUGAUUAGGUAGUUGGCGGGGUAACGGCCCACCAAGCCUACGAUCAGUAGCUGAUGUGAGAGCAUGAUCAGCAACACGGGCACUGAGACACGGGCCCGACUCCUACGGGAGGCAGCAGUAAGGAAUAUUGGUCAAUGGACGAAAGUCUGAACCAGCCAUGCCGCGUGGAGGAUGAAGGUCCUCUGGAUUGUAAACUUCUUUUAUCUGGGACGAAAAAAGGGUUUUCUAACUCGUCUGACGGUACCAGAUGAAUAAGCACCGGCUAACUCCGUGCCAGCCGCCGCGGUAACAC